rnacentral:rRNA from 1 species
UACGUAGGGACCAAGCGUUGUUCGGAUUUACUGGGCGUAAAGGGCGCGUAGGCGGCAAUUCAAGUCAUCUGUGAAAUCUCUGGGCUUAACCCAGAACGGCCAGGUGAUACUGCUUUGCUAGAGUGCGGAAGGGGCAAUCGGAAUUCCUGGUGUAGCGGUGAAAUGCGUAGAUAUCAGGAGGAACACCGGUGGUGUAGACGGCUUUCUGGACCGUAACUGACGCUGAGACACGAAAGCGUGGGUAGCAAACAGG